rnacentral:rRNA from 1 species
GGACGAACGCUGGCGGCGUGCUUACCACAUGCAAGUCGAACGGAAAGGCCCUGCCUUUGUGGGGUGCUCGAGUGGCGAACGGGUGAGUAACACGUGAGUAACCUGCCCUUGACUUUGGGAUAACUUCAGGAAACUGGGGCUAAUACCGGAUAGGAGCUCCUGCUGCAUGGUGGGGGUUGGAAAGUUUCGGCGGUUGGGGAUGGACUCGCGGCUUAUCAGCUUGUUGGUGGGGUAGUGGCUUACCAAGGCUUUGACGGGUAGCCGGCCUGAGAGGGUGACCGGCCACAUUGGGACUGAGAUACGGCCCAGACUCCUACGGGAGGCAGCAGUGGGGAAUAUUGCACAAUGGGCGGAAGCCUGAUGCAGCAACGCCGCGUGCGGGAUGACGGCCUUCGGGUUGUAAACCGCUUUCGCCUGUGACGAAGCGUGAGUGACGGUAAUGGGUAAAGAAGCACCGGCUAACUACGUG